UACGUAGGGUGCAAGCGUUAAUCGGAAUUACUGGGCGUAAAGCGUGCGCAGGCGGCUAUGCAAGACAGAUGUGAAAUCCCCGGGCUCAACCUGGGAACUGCAUUUGUGACUGCAUGGCUAGAGUACGGUAGAGGGGGAUGGAAUUCCGCGUGUAGCAGUGAAAUGCGUAGAUAUGCGGAGGAACACCGAUGGCGAAGGCAAUCCCCUGGACCUGUACUGACGCUCAUGCACGAAAGCGUGGGGGAGCAAACAGG
rnacentral:rRNA from 1 species